UAGGGAAUCUUCCGCAAUGGGCGAAAGCCUGACGGAGCAACGCCGCGUGUGUGAUGAAGGUCUUCGGAUCGUAAAACUCUGUUAUUAGGGAAGAACAAAUGUGUAAGUAACUAUGCACGUCUUGACGGUACCUAAUCAGAAAGCCACGGCUAACUACGUGCCAGCAGCCGCGGUAAUACGUAGGUGGCAAGCGUUAUCCGGAAUUAUUGGGCGUAAAGCGCGCGUAGGCGGUUUUUUAAGUCUGAUGUGAAAGCCCACGGCUCAACCGUGGAGGGUCAUUGGAAACUGGAAAACUUGAGUGCAGAAGAGGAAAGUGGAAUUCCAUGUGUAGCGGUGAGAUGCGCAGAGAUAUGGAGGAACACCAGUAGCGAAGGCGACUUUCUGGUCUGUAACUGACGCUGAUGUGCGAAAGCGUGGGGAUCAAACAGG
rnacentral:rRNA from 1 species